UAUUACCGCGGCUGCUGGCACGUAGUUAGCCGAGACUUAUUCCUGGGGUACCGUCCUUUCUCUUCCCCCAGAAAAGCCCUUUACGACCCGAAGGCCUUCAUCGGGCACGCGGCGUUGCUGCAUCAGGCUUGCGCCCAUUGUGCAAUAUUCCUUACUGCUGCCUCCCGUAGGAAUCUC
rnacentral:rRNA from 1 species